rnacentral:lncRNA from 1 species
UAGACUGUUGGUAGCGUAUCCUCAGAGGGGAGAGUCCAUCUAGGCUCUUCUCUCCACUUUUUACUUUCUAGUCAUGAGGUGAGCUUUUGCCCUGUCACGAAGUUCUGCUGUGCUGUUCACCUCAUCACAGGCCUGGAAACGUCUGAGGCUGACAGAUGAAGGUGUCCAUAGUCAGGCUUGUGACUCUUAGCUCUUCAGAUUUGCUUCCUAGGGCACUGUCACCACCAGCAUGAUAGCAUCACAGUCCAGUCCAGUGGUCCCCAACCUAAUGGUUCCUAAUGCUGCAGACACCAACCAUAAAACUAUUUCUUUGCCACUUC